rnacentral:rRNA from 1 species
UACGAAGGGGGCUAGCGUUGCUCGGAAUGACUGGGCGUAAAGGGCGCGUAGGCGGUUCGUACAGUCAGACGUGAAAUUCCCGGGCUCAACCUGGGGGCUGCGUUUGAUACGUACGGGCUUGAGUUCGGAAGAGGGUCGUGGAAUUCCCAGUGUAGAGGUGAAAUUCGUAGAUAUUGGGAAAAACACCGGUGGCGAAGGCGGCGACCUGGUCCGACACUGACGCUGAGGCGCGAAAGCGUGGGGAGCAAACAGG